rnacentral:sRNA from 1 species
UAAACAAAGGGCUCCUACAAUUUAGUA